rnacentral:rRNA from 1 species
ACGAACGCUGGCGGCAUGCCUAACCCAUGCCAGUCGAACGAGACCUUCGGGUCUAGUGGCGCACGGGUGCGUAACGCGUGGGAACCUGCCCUUAGGUUCGGAAUAACUCCCCGAAAGGGGUGCUAAUACCGGAUAAUGUCUUCGGACCAAAGAUUUAUCGCCUUUGGAUGGGCCCGCGUUGGAUUAGCUAGUUGGUAGGGUAAAAGCCUACCAAGGCGACGAUCCAUAGCUGGUCUGAGAGGAUGAUCAGCCACACUGGGACUGAGACACGGCCCAGACUCCUACGGGAGGCAGCAGUGGGGAAUAUUGGACAAUGGGCGAAAGCCUGAUCCAGCAAUGCCGCGUGAGUGAUGAAGGCCUUAGGGUUGUAAAGCUCUUUUACCCGGGAUGAUAGUGACAGUACCGGGAGAAUAAGCUCCGGCUAACUCCGUG